UACGUAGGGGGCAAGCGUUGUCCGGAGUUACUGGGCGUAAAGCGCACGCAGGCGGUCGCGUAAGAGUGCGGGGACAGUGGGGCGGCUUAACUGCCCAAGGGUCGCACAGACUGCGUGACUGGAGGGCCAGAGAGGGACCUGGAAUUCCGGGUGGAGCGGUGAAAUGCGUAGAGAUCCGGAGGAACGACCAAUGGCGAAGG
rnacentral:rRNA from 1 species